rnacentral:siRNA from 1 species
CCUGUUGAGCUUGACUCUAGUCC